GAUCAUGAUUUUCAAUCUGGGUGGACUGACCUUGUGUUUGUUUGUUAUGAGUAUAUGGAUCUGUGACAAUAUUCAUGUGUAAUGUUUAAAAGCUGUUUUUGCUCAUUUUGCUGAUCUGUUUCUUUCCACUGAUCUGUACUUUUUUAUUGGGCAAAUUAACUGCAGUUGUGUAUGAUGUCAUUUAAAUGAUGUCACUGUGGCUUGACUAUCAUUGUUUGACUCAUAAUGAUGUUAACUGAUUAGCUUAGAGCAGUGUUAAGUUGGACACACACAUAUUGAACACGUCUGCAAUUCUGUAAUUUGACGUCUGGUUUCUCGGUUAAUUCUGGAUUUGAACUAACAUCUUUUCACAGCCUGGAGGAUCAUCAUGAGUGCUAUUUCAGUCCCUAAAGCAGAUGAUCCCUGUUCAGGGGCAGAUAACUGAUAUACAAGAAUCCCAGAUUCAUAGCGAUGCUUCGUUGUUGCCAUUCAAAAAGUUAAGGUGCAGCCAGCAUAAUUGGUGAACAAUGGGAGGGUGUAGCUCUGUCCAGCUGCCACCCGAGGGAUCCCCAGACUUACACAGAGAUGAUGAAGUGCUUCUCCCAGCCUCUCUCCCUUCCCCCAGCUGGUGUCUCUCUCCAGGGGGCUUUAAUCUCACAGCACCACCACUGUACUAUAUUUGCCUCUGUUUGCCCUGGGCCUCGAUUAACACACAGGCAAUGCCAAAAAAUAAUCAAAAAGAGCUUUGCUGUUCUGUAGCAAAAUGAUAAUGUCACUAGUAAAAGUCAAAUUUGGAAAAGGAAAUAUGGAAUAGAGUGAAAUUUAAUCAAGGUUUUUCCUAAUAUUUUCGCUAUUACUUUUAAUGUAAAAUAAGAAUGUUGCUGCAUUAUUGCCUACAAUAAUUAUUUAUAUUCUCAGCUGUCACUGCUGCUCUGAUAUUGUGAUCACAGGAAACUGUCAAAUCAUCAGAUUCAUCCGUACGUGAAGCAUGGUGCAGAGGCAAAACUGAUGUAAAAAAAAUGUUGUGCACUUGGCUCAAUAAUUCAUUUCUAACUAAAUAAAAAUUGAACCAGAAAUCCUUCAUGAACAUGCUCAACAUUGUCUCUAUUUAAUUACGUUAUAAAACAAAAGUUGCAUCCCAAAUGACGCACUAUACACUAUGCACUUAUACACUAUGCACUUAUACACUAUGUACUUAUGCACUGUGUACUCAACCGUGUAGUGUAUGAAUUUUAUACGGUUAUUUUGUCAUUCAGUAUCAGUCUGUUACCCCCUCCCCCUCCGAUACACAAGUAAAGGUCUUUGCACACUGAGUCCGAAAUUUUCGUAUUCGUUAUCCUAAAUAUUUGUCACGUAUAGAAACCUUGCACAACCUUGAAUGUGUAUUAAUUAAUCCGUUGCGAAGAAAUUUUGCAAAACAAUACAAAAUGGAGUCUUUAAGCAGUAAGGAUGAUUUUGCUGUCCUUUCUCUUCUUAAAAAGAGAAAAAGAAAGAGGAAAUAUUGGAUCAAGGAGCUGCGGAGUUAUCCUGAAAUCACUGUAGGUGUUAUACAUAGUCAUAAAAUCUUUUACAUUCCGUCUGUUUGUAUUCCGCACUUUGUCAUACAGUGUUUUGUGCUGCGAGACGAAGUGGGUCAACUUGUCAGACGCCAUUCUGGAUUUUGGCAUUUGCUUGUACGGUGGCUCUGAAUUGUCAAAACACCUCUCAAAAUGCUUGCUACGGAUGUUAAAAACACAGAAAAUUGAACCUAAUCUGAUUUUUUUUAUUUUUUAUGACAGACGAAAGUUUCGUAGACAGUGUGUAAAAGUGAUUGACACAACAUGAGGUGGUAUUUAUUUUUUAACAUGCAAAAAUUUCGGACGCGAAUUUCGGACUCAGUGUGCAAAGACCUUAAAGGGUUAGUUCACCUAAAAAUGAAAAUUCUGUCAUUUAUUAC